rnacentral:misc_RNA from 1 species
AACAUCUCAAAUCUCUCUUCGCUUGCGUCGAGAGAAUUGGAUUUGAGCGAUCCCGACUCCUUCGUCAGAAAGAGGAGGGUCGCUUGAAAUGCAGGUGCAGCUGGACAUUCUUCUGAGCUAAAAGCAUAUCUAUUUAGUCCCGUCAAACGGAUUAUUACUUUUGCUUCAGCUAAUAUAAAGGUCGAAUGAACUACCAACGCUGAUUGCAGGAAAACUCGUUUGUAACAGAACUUGUAA